CUUAAACGGUAUCUAGCAGGUGAAGACAUGCAAGUCAGAUGUUUUAACAUUAAAAUAACUGGCGUAGAGGUGAGGAUAACUAAGUAAAUACGUUAUAAUUAUAACAGUGGCUUGGUUCCCAAUAGGUAGUAGGAGAGGUAAAAGCUCAACUAGCCAAAGAUGGGUAGGAUAAUAUGAAAGUAUUUAUCCCACAACGGGUGUGAGAUUCACCCGAGGCAUCAUUAGAUGUACAGCAGUCGCAAAUCAUUGUCAAUAGGCAUAUUUCUAAUUUAUAUUAGAAGUCGCUUGAACAUGCUAGCUAGAUUCUAUUGCACGGUUCGUGUAGUAGACGCUUACUUUUUAUAACGAAAAAAGACCUUUUACGAGCAUUUAUUCCGAUGUUUGUAAAAGUAAAGUGUAGUCCAUCCUAAACAUCGUGCCAGCAGCCGCUGUAAAAC
rnacentral:rRNA from 1 species